GGCGAACGGGUGAGUAAUAUAUCGGAACGUGCCCAGUAAUGGGGAAUAACUAAUUGAAAGAUUAGCUAAUACCGCAUACGACCUACGGGUGAAAGCAGGGGAUCUUCGGACCUUGCGUUAUUGGAGUGGCCGAUAUCUGAUUAGCUAGUUGGUGGGGUAAAAGCCUACCAAGGCGACGAUCAGUAGCUGGUCUGAGAGGACGAUCAGCCACACUGGAACUGAGACACGGUCCAGACUCCUACGGGAGGCAGCAGUGGGGAAUUUUGGACAAUGGGGGAAACCCUGAUCCAGCCAUCCCGCGUGAGUGAAGAAGGCCUUCGGGUUGUAAAGCUCUUUCGGAAGUGAAGAAAACUUAUUUCGUAAUAUGUUAUAAGAAUGACGGUAACUUUAGAAGAAGCACCGGCUAACUACGUGCCAGCAGCCGCGGUAAUACGUAGGGUGCGAGCGUUAAUCGGAAUUACUGGGCGUAAAGCGUGC
rnacentral:rRNA from 1 species